ensembl:snRNA U6 U6 spliceosomal RNA
GUGCUCACUUCAGCAUCACAUGUACUAAAAAUGGAAUAAUACAGAGAUUAGCAUGGCCCCUAUGCAAGGAUAACAUACAAAUUUAUAAAACAUUCUAUAUUUUA